rnacentral:rRNA from 1 species
AACGCGAAGAACCUUACCAGGUCUUGACAUMCUYGUGCUAUUCCUAGAGAUAGGAAGUUCCUUCGGGACACGGGAUACAGGUGGUGCAUGGUUGUCGUCAGCUCGUGUCGUGAGAUGUUGGGUUAAGUCCCGCAACGAGCGCAACCCCUAUUGUUAGUUGCCAUCAUUAAGUUGGGCACUCUAACGAGACUGCCGGUGAUAAACCGGAGGAAGGUGGGGAUGACGUCAAAUCAUCAUGCCCCUUAUGACCUGGGCUACACACGUGCUACAAUGGAUGGUACAACGAGUCGCGAGACAGUGAUGUUUAGCUAAUCUCUUAAAACCAUUCUCAGUUCGGAUUGUAGGCUGCAACUCGCCUACAUGAAGUCGGAAUCGCUAGUAAU